AAAACUCUUAUUGUAUACCCCCUCGCGGGUUUUUUUAUAAUCUGAGCCUUCUCGGCGCCUCUCGUAGGCGUUUCGAAAAUGAAUCAAAACUUUCAACAACGGAUCUCUUGGUUCUGGCAUCGAUGAAGAACGCAGCGAAAUGCGAUAAGUAAUGUGAAUUGCAGAAUUCAGUGAAUCAUCGAAUCUUUGAACGCACAUUGCGCCCGCCAGUAUUCUGGCGGGCAUGCCUGUCCGAGCGUCAUUUCAACCCUCGAACCCCUCCGGGGGGUCGGCGUUGGGGAUCGGCCCUCCCUUAGCGGGUGGCCGUCUCCGAAAUACAGUGGCGGUCUCGCCGCAGCCUCUCCUGCGCAGUAGUUUGCACACUCGCAUCGGGAGCGCGGCGCGUCCACAGCCGUUAAACACCCAACUUCUGAAAUGUGACCU
rnacentral:rRNA from 1 species